rnacentral:rRNA from 1 species
UACGAAGGGUGCAAACGUUGCUCGGAAUCAUUGGGCGUAAAGCGCGCGCAGGCGGUCUUCCAAGUCAGUGGUGAAAGCCCGGAGCUCAACUCCGGAACUGCCAUUGAAACUGUAAGACUUGAGUACGAGAGAGGUGAGUGGAAUUCCCAGUGUAGAGGUGAAAUUCGUAGAUAUUGGGAAGAACACCGGUGGCGAAGGCGGCUCACUGGCUCGUAACUGACGCUCAGGCGCGACAGCGUGGGGAUCAAACAGG